UACCACGUGAUCCAAGCGGCUGUGAACGUCUGAACCGGAAGUUAUCUCUGAAGGCUGCCGCCAUAUUUGUUGUGGGCAUAUGACCCUAACGAAGUUCAUCUGUAACCGGCAUGUUCCUGACUGACCGCUUGUUCCCCCACCGCUCCUCUCCCACUUGGCUGGUUGCCGUACGGUGGAGAUGGCUGCUAUCAAAAUCACCACACUCAACGUCCAGGGGUUCAACGUACCGGAGAAGAGAUCCCAGGUCCUCUACCACAUGCACAAGCUAAAGGUGACCAUCCUCUGUUUACAAGAGACUCAUUUUAAAGGAAGAAGACCUAGAUUACAACAGAUCAAGAAGCGAUGAUGAAAAAUGUUUUUUUUUUUUAUUUCAAUGAAGUUUUCUUUUCAACCUGGUGUGUGGGUGUUUUUUUUUGUAAUUUUUUUUGGGCUUAAAGGGGUACUCCGGUGCUUAGACAUCUUAUCCCCUAUCCAAAGGAUAGGGGACAAGAUGCCUGACCGCGGGAGUACCGCCACUGGGGACCCCCGUGAACUUGCACGCGGCACCCCGUUUGUAAUCAGUCCCUGGAGCGUGUUCGCUCCGGGUCUGAUUACGGAUGAUCACAGGGCGGGCGGCGUGUGACGUCACGCCUGCGCCCCCGUGUGACGUCACGCUCCGCCCCUUAAUGCAAGCCUAUGGGAGGUUGUGUGGCAGCUAUAAAGGGAGUACCCCUUUAAUAAUGGAAGCUGUAUGAUAGACAAUGUCCGUUACUAAGCCAGGAUAUAGCAUUAGCCUGUGAAACAACUAGCACUAACCUCCCUAUUAUUACCUCAAUACUCACCGCACCAGGGGUACAGGGAAUAGACAGGUACCAUCAGGCCCAGAGCAUAAAAAAUUAUGAUCUGGGACUAGGUAAUAACAGUUAUUAUUAGGUAUUAUUAGGCUGGCAAUGGCCCACAUAAAUGGCUCUUGCCACCCUGGUAAUGCCAGAUGGCUACUGCCCUGUUUUGUACCUGGCUGAUAAUGGUAAAUGGGCACUUUUUUUUUUUCCUUUAACCCCUUCAUGACCCAGCUAGUUUUGGCCUUCAUGACCCAGUCCGUUUUUUCAAAUCUGACAUGGGUCUCUUUAAGUGGUAAUAACUUUGAACUGCUUUUACCUGGCAAAGUGAUUCAGAGAUAGUAUUUUCAAGACAUAUUGUACUUUAUAUAGCAGUACAUUUUUGCUGAUACAUGAAGCGAUUUUGUGUGAAAUAUUCUAAAAUAAUGUGAAAAUUGGAAAAAUUUUCUUUUCUCUGUUUGAAACUCUCUACUUA